CAUGGAAGUAUUAUAUUGACAGGAACUACUACGACCCGACUUCAAACGUUUCAUCUGCGAUGCCGCGCGCAAUUUAAUGACAUGUUAAUUAGCUUGAAACAUGGCACGUUAUUUACAUAGCAGCGUGUGGUGCCCUACAAUAUUGUCAUUCUCGGUUGAUUUCGGGAUUACGGAAAUAAACGAAGAAAUCGAAAGUUGUGAUAAAUUAUUAGGAAACAGCAAUCGGCAAACUUCGGCAGAUUCCGUUACCUAACUGUGCCGAUUGAGUGAUUGAUGGAUUAAUGCGAGUCAUCAUUAAUUCUAUAGAAAAACACGUUGACGAUGGAAAUUUGUACCAAAUUUAUUGAAUAAAUGCCCCAUUUUUAUUGAUUUAUUUUUUUCGGUAGAAAUUGCACUAUAUGUAAUAUAUAUCGCAAGUUGUGAUUAUAUAAUAACUACUGUUUACUCCACUGAGUGGCACACAUUUCCUGCAUAUUUAAGACGAUUGUAAAUGAUCGUUCUGAUAAAAUCAAAAGAUCAAAGAGAUUUUAAAUAAAUGUAGGGUAAGAUCAUUGGUUAGUAUAUACGAAUGUUCAGCUGAACCCCGAUGUGUUGAAUUUUUUUUAGUACUGCGACUCAAGUAUUUGUAUAGUGACAUUGUACAAAUUCUUGUGCGACUGUUCAAUAAUAUUUACCAGUAUCAUUUGGACGGUUUCAUUUGAUCGGAUAGUGAUAACAUAUUUUAGGGGACAGAAAUGUAUUAAAUAAAUAUCUAUAUAACGUGGUUAAAUCUCUGUUUUCUUCUGCUGUAUUUUGUUGAUUGGUACUUGCUCGAUUAAUUUUCGUAUUGUAAACUGGAAAUUUCUACUUUCCAGGAUUAUCCAGUAACUUAACCAUAUAUAUUACUCUAAACUUCACAGUUUUAAUAUUUAUCAAAUAUAUUUAUUGUUAACCGGCGGUAACCGGAACACACCUUAAUCGCGAUUUAAACUUCACCCACAAACUAAUAAAAUAAUGUCACUCACUAUUUCAAAUCGUUGUAGAAUAAUAAAUUCUGGGCCGAUUUUCAUUUUUUAUGCAUCAAUCGAUUUGUUUAAAUAAGUUGUUCACGAAUAAAGGUCUACCGACGCGAUUGAAAUAAGUAAAGGUGUUUUCCGACAGGUAAUAUUGUAAAGCUGUCUCGAUUAAAACCACGUGAUUGAUAAGAAGUAUCUCUGGUCAAUUUAUGACUGCGGCAU
rnacentral:lncRNA from 1 species